UUGAUCUAAAUCUUUGAUUGACCUCAAAAUUUGCACACAUAUUAACAAUUAAAAUACCAACACAUUGCCUAAAUUAUAUUUAUACAUACACUAAAAAAUUCAAGAAACCUUCAAAUUUAUGAACAUAUUUUUAUUUUUCAAAAUCUAAACUAAUGGAGAACAUUACUAACUUUGAAAAUUCCUCAAAAACUGAAUAUUGACUCGAUUGACAUUAAAUUAAUGCUCAAAAAUUUCUUCUUAAGUUUACUCUCAAAUCUCACCC
rnacentral:lncRNA from 1 species